CAGCAGCCGCGGUAAUUCCAGCUCCAAUAGCGUAUAUUAAAGUUGUUGCGGUUAAAAAGCUCGUAGUUGGAUUUCAGCGGGUAGUGGUUGGUUUGAAUUGCUUCAACACUGACUUUUUUACCCGUGUGUUGGGUCAGAUUCAGGCGGGUGAUCUUAAACGGUUGUCCGUCCGAGCUGGCUAUUUUACUUUGAAAAAAUUAGAGUGCUCAAAGCAAGCUAGAUGGCUUGAAUAUUCGUGCAUGGAAUAAUAGAAUAGGAGGUCGCUUCUAUUUUGUUGGUUUUCGGAAGUCGACUUAAUGAUUAAUAGGGAUAGUCGGGGGCAUUUGUAUUUAAGUGACAGAGGUGAAAUUCUUGGACCACUUAAAGACAAACUACUGCGAAAGCAUUUGCCAAGAAUGUUUUCAUUAAUCAAGAACGAAAGUUAGAGGUUCGAAGGCGAUUAGAUACCGCCCUAGUUCUAACCAUAAACGAUGCCAGCUAGCGAUCUGUUGGAGUUUCUUUUAUGACCUGACAGGGAGCUUCCGGGAAACCAAAGCUUGUGGGUUCCGGGGGAAGUAUGAUUGCAAAGUUGAAACUUAAAAGAAUUGACGGAAAGGCACCACCAGGAGUGGAGGCUGUGGCUUAAUUUGACUCAACACGGG
rnacentral:rRNA from 1 species